GCCUCUGUAGCUCAGUUGGUUAGAGCACUGCAGCGGAAACGCAGGACAGGUUCAAUUCCUGCCUGGGACC